rnacentral:snoRNA from 1 species
CCCCUCUCAGCAUCGCACCUGGAGAGUUUCCAGACCUCUACCAGUCACGGCUAUGGGAGGGAGAGUCAAGCAGAGGCCUGUCCAGUCCAUUCCUAGCUUGGCCAGUGGCUAGCGAAUGGAAGGCAAUCUGCUACAAGU